AUUGAACGCUGGCGGCAGGCCUAACACAUGCAAGUCGAACGAGUGGCGGACGGGUGAGUAAUGUAUGGGAAACUGCCCGAUGGCGGGGGAUAACGACUGGAAAAGGUGGCUAAUACCGCAUACUAUCGGAUGAGCCAAUAUGGGAUUAGCUUGUGGGUGGGGUAACGGCUCACCAAGGCGACGAUCCUUAGCUGGUCUGAGAGGAUGACCAGCCAUACUGGCACUGAGACACGGCCCAGACUCCUCCGGGAGGCAGCAUUGGGGAAUAUUGCACAAUGGGCGCAAGCCUGAUGCAGCCAUGCCGCGUGUAUGAAGAAGCCCUUCGGGUUGUAAACUACUUUCAUCUGGGAGGCGUUACCCGCAGAAGAAGCACCGGCUAACUCCGUGCCAGCAGCCGCGGUAAUUC
rnacentral:rRNA from 1 species